AGAAUCAACGCUGGCGGCGUGCCUAACACAUGCAAGUCGAACGCGAAAGUCCCGAAAGGGAUAAGUAGAGUGGCAAACGGGUGAGUAACACGUGGGUGACCUGCCUUCGAGCGGGGGAUAACGGUCCCGAAAGGGACGCUAAUACCGCAUGACAUCCUGCCUUUGAAGAGGCGGAGAUCAAAGCCGGGGAUCGCAAGACCUGGCACUCGAAGAGGGGCCCGCGCCUGAUUAGCUAGUUGGUGGGGUAAUGGCUCACCAAGGCGACGAUC
rnacentral:rRNA from 1 species